rnacentral:lncRNA from 1 species
UGCUGGUUUCUCUUGGAUGGGAGAAGGGCAGAGUUGGGGUAGGUUAGUUCCUGAGCUCACUCAUCAGCAAUCUCGGUCUCCUGGUGGACGACCACCUUGGUCACUGACAUGUCUGGGUGCUGCUCCUUUGCCUCCUUGAUGGCUUGUACAAGGACCUGAUCAUGGUCAAUAUCAGCAUCUCCUGUGAUCACAAUUCUCUUUUCAAUACGUGUCUCUGAAAUCCCACCUUUUACAGUCUUGGUAAUUUGAGUUGUGGUGGUGCUGCUUGGGGUCUCAGAUGUGAUAGUUUGAGCUGUCAGCAAGACUCCUGGGUCCAAGUCUCCACUGUUGUCGUCAGUCUGGGCAGCCUCAUAAGUGAUGGUCUUGGUCUCAGUGUGGACAAUAGGGACGUCUUUGGUUGGGAUUUCACUUUUCACAGCAUUGGCAUUAUCUGAGAUGGUGACAGUUUGUGUCUUCACCAGGGGAGGUCCUUCUCCUGUGGGGAUUUGCCCAUUGAUGUUAAGAGUUCGGAAGGGUGAGUGAGUGGAUAAGCGUUUAUCCCAUUCACUAGGCCGUGGUUCUGGUACAGACUCCAUGAAGUUCUUUUUCAGCUCACUGAUGCUGGCAUGAUGUUUUUUG